rnacentral:rRNA from 1 species
CAGUCGCCGCGGUAAUACGUAGGGUGCAAGCGUUAAUCGGAAUUACUGGGCGUAAAGCGUGCGCAGGCGGUUUUGUAAGUCUGUCGUGAAAUCCCCGGGCUCAACCUGGGAAUGGCGAUGGAGACUGCAAGGCUAGAAUCUGGCAGAGGGGGGUAGAAUUCCACGUGUAGCAGUGAAAUGCGUAGAGAUGUGGAGGAACACCGAUGGCGAAGGCAGCCCCCUGGGCCAAUACUGACGCUCAUGCACGAAAGCGUGGGGAGCAAACAGGAUUAGAUACCCCGGUAGUCCCUGUCUCUUAUAC